rnacentral:rRNA from 1 species
UGGGGAAUAUUGCACAAUGGGCGCAAGCCUGAUGCAGCCAUGCCGCGUGUAUGAAGAAGGCCUUCGGGUUGUAAAGUACUUUCAGUCGGGAGGAAGGUGUCAAGGUUAAUAACCUUGGCAAUUGACGUUACCGACAGAAGAAGCACCGGCUAACUCCGUGCCAGCAGCCGCGGUAAUACGGAGGGUGCAAGCGUUAAUCGGAAUUACUGGGCGUAAAGCCCACGCAGGCGGUUGAUUGAGUCAGAUGUGAAAUCCCCGGGCUUAACCCGGGAAUUGCAUCUGAUACUGGUCAGCUAGAGUCUUGUAGAGGGGGGUAGAAUUCCAUGUGUAGCGGUGAAAUGCGUAGAGAUGUGGAGGAAUACCGGUGGCGAAGGCGGCCCCCUGGACAAAGACUGACGCUCAGGUGCGAAAGCGUGGGGAGCAAACAGG